AUUGAACGCUGGCGGCAGGCCUAACACAUGCAAGUCGAACGGCAGCACAGAAGAGCUUGCUCUUUGGGUGGCGAGUGGCGGACGGGUGAGUAAUGUCUGGGAAACUGCCCGAUGGAGGGGGAUAACUACUGGAAACGGUAGCUAAUACCGCAUAACGUCGCAAGACCAAAGUGGGGGACCUUCGGGCCUCACACAAUCGGAUGUGCCCAGAUGGGGUUAGCUAGUAGGUGGGGUAAUGGCUCACCUAGGCGACGAUCCCUAGCUGGUCUGAGAGGAUGACCAGCCACACUGGAACUGAGACACGGUCCAGACUCCUACGGGAGGCAGCAGUGGGGAAUACUGCACAAUGGGCGCAAGCCUGAUGCAGCCAUGCCGCGUGUAUGAAGAAGGCCUUCGGGUUGUAAAGUACUUUCAGCGGGGAGGAAGGGAGUAAAGUUAAUACCUUUGCUCAUUGACGUUACCCGCAGAAGAAGCACCGGCUAACUCCGUGCCAGCCGCCGCGGUAA
rnacentral:rRNA from 1 species